rnacentral:rRNA from 1 species
GAAAGCGUGGGGAGCAAACAGGAUUAGAUACCCUGGUAGUCCACGCCCUAAACGAUGAACACUAGUCGUCGGGAUGCUAGUCAUCUCGGUGAUGCACUUAACAGAUUAAGUGUUCCGCCUGGGGAGUACGGUCGCAAGAUUAAAACUCAAAGGAAUAGACGGGGACCCGCACAAGUGGUGGAGCAUGUGGUUUAAUUCGAAGAUACGCGAAGAACCUUACCUAGCCUUGACAUUGAAGAAACACUUUAGAGAUAGAGUGGUGCCCUUCGGGGAAUCUGAAAACAGGUGCUGCACGGCUGUCGUCAGCUCGUGUCGUGAGAUGUUGGGUUAAGUCCCGCAACGAGCGCAACCCUCGUCCUUAGUUGCUAGCAGUUCGGCUGAGCACUCUAAGGAGACUGCCUUCGCAAGGAGGAGGAAGGUGAGGACGACGUCAAGUCAUCAUGGCCCUUAUGGCUAGGGCUACACACGUGCUACAAUGGGGCGUACAGAGUGUUGCGAUACCGCGAGGUGGAGCUAAUCACUUAAAGCGUCUCUCAGUUCGGAUAGCAGUCUGCAACUCGACUGCUUGAAGCUGGAAUCACUAGUAAUCGUAGAUCAGCAAUGCUACGGUGAAUACGUUCCCGGGUCUUGUACUCACCGCCCGUCACACCAUGGGAGUUGAUUUCACCCGAAAUCGGGAAGCCAACCUUCGGGGGGCUACCGCUUACGGUGGAAUUAGCGACUGGGGUGAAGUCGUAACAAGGUA